UAUUUCCUAGAAACUAUACUUCAACGGUUUCUUUCCCGCGGCACGUCAUGUUCUCUCCCUUCUCCUGUGCUUUCUCUCCAGCACACUACUCAACUCGUCCCCAUCGCCAGGUUCUCCCCAGCCUGCUCACACCGAAGCCCCUUCUCACAAGUUUCAUUUUCUCUUCCUCUCUUUCUCGUGUUUCAUGUUCUUGGGUGAAAUUCGAGUGUGAGAUUUGUGAAUCUAGAAAUUUGGGUGAAAUUUGUGCAAGCAUACUGUGUUUUGCGAUUUGUCUCUCUUUCUCUCAUUCUCUGUCUCCCCAACGUGCGCAAACGCCCUGUGUUUUGCGAUUUGUGUCAUCCAAAACAGGUUACGCUUCUCACAUCAUGAGUAAUUUCUCUCGUUCUGGAUUUUUGUCUGUCCCUCGUUCCUUGAUUUGCAUUGUAUUCUUUCUUUGUUCUGAUGUUGGUUAUAUUGGGUUACUUUCAUUUUUUCUGAGCUUAAUGCUCGGCUAUAUUAGUUUGUGUUCCAUGAAGCUUAGCAUCUUUCUAUCAUCUUUUGUUAUUCUUUUCGUUGAAUGAUUUGAAGACUUGAAAUUUCUGGUCUGGGUUUUGUUUCAUCGGCAUUAUAUUUGCUUCAUUUGGUUGUUCCAUAGGAGUAGUUUGCUGAUUUUAUGCAAUUAGUCAAUAUUCCGAUGUUGGAUAUGAUGGAAUUCUAUGAUCAGGACCAAUGUCACAAGUAAAAAAAGAAGCUUUCCUUUGGAAAGAUUAUAUUUUGAUUUUUCGCUACUAUUUGUGUCACUAUGAAUGCACUUAUGUGGCAAUUGUAUGGUUAGUAGCUCAUCAACAGCAAAGAAUUUGGCAAUUUGUUUCGUUUCCUAUCGACGAAUUUCGUGAUGUGCCCUAGCUGUAUCUUCUGAUAUAUAUUAUUUUUCAUCUCCCUUUCUCUUUCUUCAUUGAUUAACCCUUUAGUUUUUUUUAAUAAUUCUUUAUGUUUGUUGGUUGUGUUUCCAAUUCUUGAUUUAUCUCCAAUCUCCAGUUUUACAUGGCUUCAAUAUUUUUCUGAUUCAACGGCUAUUUUUUUGAAGUCCAAAAUCUGAUAUAUUUUUGAAAAGGUUAGUGAUCCGAGUUCAACAGCUCGGUUUAAUAGUCGUUUGUCAUUCUGCUCUGUUAUAUGAAUUGAGCAAGGAAAUUGCUUGGAACCCAUGAUAAGGCUUGUUAAUAGGGUCCCUAAACGUGUAGAAGAUGGGUAUUUCCUCGUCAUAAGCUCUCUCACAAGGCAGCUAGGUUGGAAGGAGGCCAUGCGUGCAUUGCCUUUGAUGAUAACUUGGUGUGACCAAAUUAUGAGAGACUCAAUAAAACCCUUUAUAUCUGAGUUGAGUUAAAUGUGACCAAUUUAUGGGAUUUAAAUCUAUCUAUAAGAUUUUUUGAAGUAGAUUGACUUCUACUGGAAACUAAAUUCUGUCUUUUGGUGCUUUUUGGGAGGAAUUCAUGUACAAAUUCGAACUAUGAUGAAAAAUCCAUCUGGUUACUAGUUCUUAGUUUU